rnacentral:rRNA from 1 species
GACGAACGCUGGCGGCGUGCCUAAUACAUGCCAGUCGAACGCUUCUUUCCUCCCGAGUGCUUGCACUCAAUUGGAAAGAGGAGUGGCGGACGGGUGAGUAACACGUGGGUAACCUACCCAUCAGAGGGGGAUAACACUUGGAAACAGGUGCUAAUACCGCAUAACAGUUUAUGCCGCAUGGCAUAAGAGUGAAGGGCGCUUUCGGGUGUCGCUGAUGGAUGGACCCGCGGUGCAUUAGCUAGUUGGUGAGGUAACGGCUCACCAAGGCCACGAUGCAUAGACGACCUGAGAGGGUGAUCGGCCACACUGGGACUGAGACACGGCCCAGACUCCUACGGGAGGCAGCAGUAGGGAAUCUUCGGCAAUGGACGAAAGUCUGCCCGAGCAACGCCGCGUGAGUGAAGAAGGUUUUCGGAUCGUAAAACUCUGUUGUUAGAGAAGAACAAGGACGUUAGUAACUGAACGUCCCCUGACGGUAUCUAACCAGAAAGCCACGGCUAACUACGUG